UGUCUUGUGGCUUAGUUGGUUAAAGCCCCGGACUAGCGAUACGGAGUCGUGGGUUCGAGUCCUACGGAAACAA
rnacentral:tRNA from 1 species